UCUUGUCCCGAGCUUGCUUUUAGGAAUAUUGCGGGCUUAUUAGAACACAUUUCUUUCCAUGGAGCAACCAGCUGUAUGAGAAGUUGUGCACUCCAUAGUUGAUAUUCUGCUGAUAAAUUAAAGACACAGCUCAUUACCCACUUUUGGGAUUUUUGUGUUUAUUUUUUUAACAAUUAUUUUGACUACAGAAUAGCAUUAUUACAAUAUUCAUUUGAAUUUUUUUCCCUGUAUAUGUUUAACCAACAUGUGAUUUGUGUCUUGGCAAGCAAGCAGCUACAUAGUGUAGGCCUAUUGGCAAGAGGCUGAAUGUAUCUCACCUUUCUGUCUCUGAAUGUGUAGGCCGUCUACCUGAUGCUGUCUGGUCAAAAAGAGUAUUACAUUGUUGCCGCCCAUACUGUAGCAUUGAAUGCAAGGGAAGCCAGUGAGUGUUGAGCUAAACUGAGUGAAUGGUCCAGGCGCACGAAAAGAAGAAGUGUAAAGGGAAGACAGUGAGUGUUGAGCUAAACUGAGUGAAUGGUCCAGGCGCACGAAAAGAAGAAGUGUAAAGGGAAGACAGUGAGUGUUGAGCUAAACUGAGUGAAUGGUCCAGGCGCACGAAAAGAAGAAGUGUAAAGGGAAGACAGUGAGUGUUGAGCUAAACUGAGUGAAUGGUCCAGGCGCACGAAAAGAAGAAGUGUAAAGGGAAGACAGUGAGUGUUGAGCUAAACUGAGUGAAUGGUCCAGGCGCACGAAAAGAAGAAGUGUAAAGGGAAGACAGUGAGUGUUGAGCUAAACUGAGUGAAUGGUCCAGGCGCACGAAAAGAAGAAGUGUAAAGGGAAGCCAGUGAGUGUUGAGCUAAACUGAGUGAAUGGUCCAGGCGCACGAAAAGAAGAAGUGUAAAGGGAAGACAGUGAGUGUUGAGCUAAACUGAGUGAAUGGUCCAGGCGCACGAAAAGAAGAAGUGUAAAGGGAAGACAGUGAGUGUUGAGCUAAACUGAGUGAAUGGUCCAGGCGCACGAAAAGAAGAAGUGUAAAGGGAAGACAGUGAGUGUUGAGCUAAACUGAGUGAAUGGUCCAGGCGCACGAAAAGAAGAAGUGUAAAGGGAAGCCAGUGAGUGUUGAGCUAAACUGAGUGAAU